GCUAACUCCGUGCCAGCAGCCGCGGUAAUACGGAGGGGGCUAGCGUUGUUCGGAAUUACUGGGCGUAAAGCGCACGUAGGCGGACCGGAAAGUCAGAGGUGAAAUCCCAGGGCUCAACCUUGGAACUGCCUUUGAAACUCCUGGUCUUGAGGUCGAGAGAGGUGAGUGGAAUUCCGAGUGUAGAGGUGAAAUUCGUAGAUAUUCGGAGGAACACCAGUGGCGAAGGCGGCUCACUGGCUCGAUACUGACGCUGAGGUGCGAAAGCGUGGGGAGCAAACAGGAUUAGAUACCCCUGUAGUC
rnacentral:rRNA from 1 species